UCCUCAUCAUAAGCCUGCAAGAAUCCAGAAAGGUGGAUGCUUCUGUCACCAGUCACGGAGAACUCAACCGCCUCGUCGUUAUCGUCAAACUCAAGAUUCAGAGGGCAACAUUCGGAUUUGUUAGGCAACAACGAACACAAGUAAACAGGUGCGUUUCCUCCUAUGGAGCAUUGGAUCACACUCUUCUCUUUGCCUAAACCAGCACCUAGAGUUGCCUGUAUCGUAGCAAUUACAGUUAUAAACUAGUCUCAACGAGCUAUACACACAAUGCUAUAUACCUGGGUGAGGUGUAGCGUCCCUUGCUCGUUUUCGGGAUUGUAAGCUUGAGGCUUCCCAGGCUUCACUUCGAUUCCUGCGAAAAGUUGAGAUUAAACACACAAUCAGAACCAAUCAAAGAAACGGCGAGACUAACCCCAGAACACCAUUUUGAGCUCAAAGUCGUUGGAAUUGAGACGGCUGAGUUGUUUGAGAGGAAGAAGAGAGUAAAACCCUAGAGAAGGAGGGGGAGAGGGUUUUUGCAGACUCUUCUUUAUUUAUGAGAGGAUGAGAUCUCGGUUAGUCGAGAAAAUUCGUAACCGUUCUCGGUUAUUGGGUUGGGCCUUCGUGGGCUUCAGUAGAGGCCCAAAUGAGGUGUCAGACUAAAAUUUAUUGGUUUCCUACUCCAACCAGCCGAUGCGAUCGCAGAAGAAGAAACACACAGAUUAUAUUAUUAUAUAAUCAUUUCAUUAAAUUAAAUUUCGAAAAUUUGUUAUCCAUCAUCACUCACUCUUCUGAGAAUCUCUCAAUCUCUGAGCUCGCUUGACGACAAGCAUACUAAGGCAAAAAGAAAGUCCUCCUUGAGUUUUCAAGGUUUAUAGAUGAUUCUCUUUGUUUCGUGAAUUAGUUAGUCUUUGUUUUGAUUCCCUGAUGGUGAAUACGUAAUGCAAUAUACUGAAUCUGAGCUGGUUCCACAGGUUUCCAGAUCCUGAAGAAGGCGAAAUCAUUUCGAAGAAUGUUGUUGAUAGUGGCUUAUCACUUAUAAGCUCUGUUUCUUCCAUGGCUUUGGGUUCUCAUGAAGUUUCCAUUUUGGUUGCUGGAUUUCCUCGGAAGGUGUCUACAGUUGCGAUUGCUAUAGGGGGAUUGGUAUCUUUCUUUGUUUUCGGAUUGGUGCUUGAUCCAAUCAGUUCCUCAGUUAGUGGGGUGUUUUAUGGCAAUGCGAAUCCUCAACAAGUUGAGAUCCCUUCGUCUUUGAGCAACAAUACCGUACAAGGCCUUUACACGAGUACCAAUGACAUCUAUACGUCAGAUAAGAACCUGACUUCGACUUCUCAAUCUAGCUCAGGCUCUCCCGAUCUUGUUAGUUCAGAUAUAUCACCGCCAGAUUCGGAGAAACCUUUGAUGCAGCAAGAGAAAGGGGAUACAGUGUCUUCUUUGGAUACGAGUACGACUGGUGUUGGAUCAGGUGAAGGUGAAACCAAUGUUUCCAAGGCUGGAGACACUUCAAUUGUAUCAUCUCCUUCACAUGAUGCCUCUGAAACUACUUCAGCAGAAGAAACAGGUACUGUUUCCAUUUACCUAGCUUGUGUUUUUUUUUUGGGGAAAUCUUUGAAUUAUGGUAGGCUUAGUUUUUAAUAAACUAGUAUGCGAAUGGUAUUCCUUGAGUUAUGGACUUCUAUGGAACAUUGCUUAAGCGUCUGAUAAGCUUAUUAAGGAGGUCGUUAGCCUGUACGUCUACUGUAUAUAGCCUUAGGAUUGACUAUAGAAGAUUAGACUUGUUUCGAGUUGGUAAGAGAGCACUUAUCGCUUUGUCUUAUCAUCUGUGGCGGGCUUCUCCUCAUCUUCUAUCUCCUCAAUUACAACUAGCAAAAAUACAAUCCAAUUAGUUUCACCAUUACAAGAAAAAAAAACAAAAAUCAAGCAACAUCACUUUAUCAAUAUCUUUUUGAAAUCAUGCAGGUAUAAGACAAGAACAACACUUUAAACAUACUUCAAUAGAAACAGUACCUCCACUGUUUGGAACAGAAGAUUGCCGAUACAUAUCAAGAUUGUGAUCAAUGAAAUCCUCAAAUUCAUCCAUAUGAUCCUCAUCCUCUUCACUAUCAUACUCAGACUCUCCAGACUCAGUGUCACCAAUAUCAAUACCAUCUCUAACAAACGUCGCAACGAAAACUUUAAAAGACUAUUAAGCAGAUAAAUUACACAAACCAAAAAAAAACAAGAAAGGAUACGAAUCAUCUUCAUAAUCAUCCUCCCCACACUCCUCCUCCUCCUCAUCAUAAGCCUGCAAGAAUCCAGAAAGGUGGAUGCUUCUGUCACCAGUCACGGAGAACUCAACCGCCUCGUCGUUAUCGUCAAACUCAAGAUUCAGAGGGCAACAUUCGGAUUUGUUAGGCAACAACGAACACAAGUAAACAGGUGCGUUUCCUCCUAUGGAGCAUUGGAUCACACUCUUCUCUUUGCCUAAACCAGCACCUAGAGUUGCCU
rnacentral:lncRNA from 1 species